CGGAUGUAGCCAAGUGGAUCANGGCAGUG
rnacentral:tRNA from 1 species